UGCCAGCCGCCGCGGUAACACGGGGGGCGCAAGCGUUAUUCGGAAUUAUUGGGCGUAAAGGGCGCGUAGGCGGUCUUGUCGGCCAGGUGUGAAAGCCCGGGGCUCAACCCUGGAAGUGCACUUGAAACAGCAGGACUUGAGUACGGGAGAGGAAAGCGGAAUUCCUGGUGUAGAAGGGAAAUUCGUAGAUAUCAGGAGGAACACCGAUGGCGAAGGCAGCCUCCUGGACUGAUACUGACGCUGAGGUGCGAAAGUGUGGGGAGCAAACAGGAUUAGAUA
rnacentral:rRNA from 1 species